rnacentral:tRNA from 2 species
GCCGAAGUGGUGGAAUGGUAGACACGCUGGAUUCAAAAUCCAGUGUCCUCAACAGACGUGUGGGUUCGAGUCCCACCUUCGGUA